rnacentral:lncRNA from 1 species
AGUUUGUCCUCGGCUGUUACAGAGAAUUGAUACAAAAAAUGAUCAUGUGAAGAAUUUGCAUCUUCUGCAGAACUACCGGUAUCAGUCAGCAGUAGGAGAUUGUAUAAAUUCAGCCUGAGAUUCCAGAAUAUUCUGUGUAUUGACCACCACAGCAAGAAGAAAAAGUCCAUGUAGGACUGAAAUCUGUGGUACUUCUGCGGUGGCACUUCUUACACAAGUGAGAAGCAGCGACACCGUGACACCUGCACGCCGGAGCCCUGCGUUAGUGAGAAGCAGCGACACCGUGACACCUGCACGCCGGAGCCCUGCGUUAGUGAGAAGCAGCGACACCGUGACACCUGCACGCCGGAGCCCUGCGUUAGGCUGGGUAAGGGCGGGGACCUGGGCAUCACACAGUCUUAGAUGUGGGCCUGCCUCCAACAGCUCCCUCCUGGGUGUGAUGCUGAAGGGGGUCCUUGACACCUCUGAAGUCUCAGUCUCCUCAAGGUCACACCCAGCUUAUAGGAUUGUGCUUCUGUGGAUUAAACAAGACACAGCAGUCCUCCCUUAUCCAUGGUUCUGUUUUCCUUGGCCAAAAAUAUUAAAUAGAAAAUUCCAGA